rnacentral:rRNA from 1 species
CUGCGGUGAAUACGUUCCCGGGUCUUGUACACACCGCCCGUCAAACCAUGAAAGUGACCAACACCCGAAGUCCGAUUCGUCGGCCUAAGGUGGGGGGCAUGAUUGGGGUU